UACGGAGGGUGCAAGCGUUGUUCGGAAUCACUGGGCGUAAAGGGCGUGUAGGCGGUCUAUCAAGUCUGGUGUGAAAUCCCCUCGCUCAACGAGGGAACUGCGCCGGAAACUGACAGACUAGAGUACCGGGGAGGAAGGUGGAAUUCCUGGUGUAGCGGUGAAAUGCGCAGAUAUCAGGAGGAACACCAAUUGCGAAGGCAGCUCGCUGGGACGUUACUGACGCUGAGACGCGAAAGCGUGGGGAGCAAACAGG
rnacentral:rRNA from 1 species